UGUGAUGUAGUUUAUUGAAAAUACUUGUUUUACACACAAGUGAACUCUUGUUGGGAGCUUUACUA
rnacentral:tRNA from 1 species